ensembl:misc_RNA Y_RNA Y RNA
GUCUGGUCCAAAUGCAGUGGUGUUUACAGCUAAUUGAUCACAACAGAUUUCUUUCUUUUUUCUCCACUUCCACUGCUUCACUUUACUGGCCUUAA